CAUAUGCUCGCCGGCAGAGCACAUCGACGGGAGCUCCGGACGAGAACAAUCGUCCGAAUGCUAAAGUCGCCUUUUUAGAAGAGAAAGCGCAAAGGCAGCGUGGAGGGGGCGAGCGGGAGCGUCUUGACUGACAUCCAUCUGGUGUUUCAUCCGCAAUGCGUCAUUGAGACGCGAUUCCGGGGGCGAUCGAUAAACGCAGAGGCCUCUGGCGGAAAUGCGACCCGAGACUGUCCGUACGAGAACUGACCUGAGAGCAGAGCAGCAUGACCAGUUCCACCACCGACGUGCUGGACUUCAUACACACCAGACCUGCGGAAGGACCUCAUACCUGCUUCGUGAAUGAGUGAAGCAGCCAGCUCAAAGACCAAGCCCAACUCCCAAAGACCAAGCAAGCCGAACAAGGGAGUAGUAGUAAGGUUUGUUGUACAGCACCUGUACCUUCAAUGAGAAGCUCCUGCCCAUGACUCCCCAGGAGCGUGCGCGAUAGGAAUGGCGCAAAGUCAACAAAAAUUUCCCUCAGGAGCGGCGCCACCUUCUCCAGCGCUCGUUCCAGCUUGGUGGUGAUGCUGCAGGGAGGACAGAACAGCAAAUACAGGCGCUAAAGGAUGGGCUCUACAUGCGGGGGAGGCAAAACAAAAGGCAGGAAAGACACAAGCGCGCCUUCAAAUCAAACAAAUGCAAUUUCACCAUGUUUGGAGUGCAGUGACAUUGGAUGUUCAUAACAAGCAAAAUCACAUACGUGUAAACAUACAUUCAUCAUAUAAAAUAAAUGGUUUGAGAAAUUGUUCUAUUGGGUACAAAACGUGACAAAAAUUGUCAGCAAAAAGAUGUUGAUCAAAUAUUGACUUGAUGAAAUAAAGCGUCAAUUAUUUUGGCAAAUAAACGUGUAUUUCAUAUGCUGUAUUACGUUCACAGCGGCGGUCCUUGCCUAAAACACUGUCCUGCAUCUCUGGGGGUUGUCUGGAAGCCGGCCAGGGAGCUAAAGGACUUGAGCUCGGGAGGCGUCUGACUGCUGCGCAAUGCACACUGCGCCACCUCACAAUAGGCACUGUAACACGCACACACACCAUUAAGGCUUGGAUAGCACAACUCAAGGGAAGCACAAUGGAAUUUGGAGCUGUGGGCAAGCGGGUAACUUCACAAAAUGCUGUCCAUCAACACAGAAUGUCGAGUGAUGGGCAAAUGUGACGUCGUGGAAAAGCGCGUCGGCGCGGCUUUAGCAAAGAACGUCUGGGGUGGGGCUAUCUGUGGGGUAGAGCGAGGACCGACGAGAAGAGUGACAGCGGGUGAGUCGACAAAAACUUUCUCUGACCUCAUGUUCUCCAGGCUGUCUUCAGGCAUGGGCGCCACCGUCUGGACGGCAGGCAGAUUCUUGCUGGUGGCGCCGUUCACAAACGCUGCUGCCGCCGCCACCACAGAGUCUGCUCCUGCACAAGAUGGAUGGAUGAACAAAAGGAAGGACACGUGAGUCACAAGGUGGCGUCACCGCACCGGUCAGAGUGCAAACGAACACAAAGCGCUUGGCGUCAGCGUCUGGGUGCGGGACAGAACCUCCUCCGCGCCCAAUUUGGUUUGUUUACAAAGUCUCGAGCAAUAAUGUCAAACGUGGCUCGGCUCGCUCUCUUUACUGGUGCUGAAGGAACGUCGCAUUACCUCACAUUGAAACCACUGAAGGGAUCAAUAAAAAGCUCAUUCGGACAUAACACGCAGAUAUAGCUUGACAUAUUGGCGGCCAUGAAUGCAGUUUGGAAGAACAAACCAUUUCAGUGUCCCGCGAACACCAAAGCCUGGAUGCUCACCUGUGGUAUUGAUCAUGCUCUUGGGUGUCACGGCGGCGGCAAAGAUGUUAGGCGUGCUGGCGGCACCCCCGGCGGUGGGCGUACCCACCGUAUUGACGGACAAGCUGCCGGGUGGCGGCUUCUUUGCCGGGACCAUGACGCUCCUGCGAGACAGACGCAGUUCAUUUAUUGGUGAGGAGACAGCGGCGGUGCAAAAGAUUGGCAGAUUGGAAAGCAACCUAUCAAAGGAGUGGAACUGCAUGGGCAGUGCCGGGUAGCUCUUCAAGGUGGGGUCGGGCUGGUAUGGCGUCGGCCCGGACUCUUGGCCCGAGUCGCUGCCAUCCGACGGAGCGGCCACCAGGCUCUUCAGGAUCUCCUGUCGUGGAGGCACAAAGUGUGAAAGAUUGACAGUGCUAAGGCGCGAAAACUCAAGCGCCAGAGUAAGAAGAGUGUGCGCACAAAUGUCGGGCUCUCCCAAACUUGACAAGCUCACGGAGCAUUUGGCUCACCUUGACGUUGAUGCCUUUAUUGGUAUGGCUGAUGCCGGAAAUGGACGAAGGCGGCGCCUGUCUGCCAUCGGGAUUGCGGGGGGAGUCCAGAAGGCUCUCGUGCGACCUGCCGACAUCCGACAGAGCACACAGCAGGUCGGCCUGGGCGCCCAUGCCCGAGGCCCGCUCCCUGUCCACUUCCCGCCCCGUCUCGGAGCCAUUGAGGGAGCCGCCUGUGUGGCCCUCCUCGCCGAUGCCCGAGUCGGUGUGGGGCAGGCCAGCACGGGGUGAGGAGUCAUCUGCGGUGACGGCUGUCUGCUUGUCACACUGAGACAAGGUAGAGGACGGGUGCUCUGCGCGGCAGGUGAGGAAGACGUGGUCAAGGAACAAGUCCCUGCCUGAUUAAUGCUGUGAUUGGUUGAAAAUCAAAUCACCUGUGCUGGUGGGUGAGUUGAUCUCGUGUCGGAUGCUGCGUCCGGACAGGCUAGCUGAUCGGCCCAUCUCCCGCUGAGGCUCCAGGAUGUCUCGAUACUUGGACACCAUCAGCACAGAGAUGAAGUAGACCACGGCCAGAGCCAAGAAUUGAGCCUGCUUGCUGUCAUCCUGCGGGGGGGAAAACAAAAAAAAAAGCGAUGAUGGUAAGCCAUCCCAUGUCUUGGUCCGCAAAGCAACACACUCACCACGUCUCUGAAAACCACCGCACGCAGACGGUUGAUGUCCACGUCCUGGAGGAGGCGGUCCGGGUCCUGCACAGUAGUAAGUUCAUGGGUCAUUCUUUCUGACUGACACUUUCCAUUAUUAUCACUGCUCAUUCCUCAACCGUUCUUCAUAUUAUGUUUUUUUGCAUUUGCUCAUUUUGGCACUGACAUCUCAAAAGAGUGUGUCACGACGCAGGCACGGGUAAGAAAUACAAGAAGAGCACCACCUUGCUGGCGGUGCCAGCAGCAUGCAAGCCAUCCUGCGACUUGCUGCCGGCCGACUUGCAGUUGCGAUCGCGCUGCCGCAGCCGGCACUCCAGGCAGUUUCUCACAGCCACGCAGCACACUGAGCGAGCAGGGAGCACAUUGAGGCCACGUCAUUUUUUGUUUUUUCCAGUUCUUUUUAUCUUCUUUUUCAGUCAAGGCGACGCCUUGAUCCCAGGCGAGUCGGCCGGCUGGCCGGCCGGAAGCGCUCACCCAGUCGCAGGCAUUGCCUCAUGAGCCCGCCGGAGGACAUGUUCUUCUCUGCCUCAAUCUCGCUGAAGUUGAGCGAGCUGGCGAAGACCAGCACGUCCACCAUGGCCAUCAGCCGCGACAGGAAGGUGACAGCCGUCUCCGACGACAUGCCCUGUGUCGCCUCGAUGUUCUCCAGUUCUGUCUGAAGGUGCGCACAUGCCCAAGAUGAGCUCGCUGGGCAAACGGCCAGCUUGGAGGCCAGCUCAAAAAUAUCAACCAUCAAAUAUCAAACAUUCAGCAAUUUGCAAAAUCCAAUCCAAAAGUCAUUUGGUGACUGACUUUGCUCAUGAACUAGCAAUUUGGUCCGUUAAAAACUUUGGUUUCUUUUUUCAUUUUAAAACCUUGAAAUAAUUUUGGUGUUAUUCUUCAUCAAAUACAUUUUGCUUAUUUU